rnacentral:rRNA from 1 species
AGCAGCAGCCGCGGUAAUACAGAGGUCUCAAGCGUUGUUCGGAUUCAUUGGGCGUAAAGGGUGCGUAGGUGGCGGUGUAAGUCUAACGUGAAAUCUCGGGGCUCAACCUCGAAAUUGCGUCGGAUACUGCAUUGCUAGAGGAUUGUAGAGGAGAGUGGAAUUCAUGGUGUAGCAGUGAAAUGCGUAGAUAUCAUGAGGAAGACCAGUUGCGAAGGCGACUCUCUGGGCAAUUCCUGACACUGAGGCACGAAGGCUAGGGGAGCAAACGGGAUUAGAGACCCGUGUAGUCCCUGUCUCUUAUAC